AUUUACCCUGAGGUCAGGCCAGGCAGGCAGGCUGCUCUGAGCAAGGCCUUCCCAGUGCUGUCUACCCAGAAAGAACCAGCCAUAGGGCCAGCCGCUGUCUUCCAGGAUGUGCGGGGGUGGUGAGAAGAAUCCCAGGGUGACCUUACGCCUGCCCAGUCUGAGCGGCUCUGAUGGGAUGGAUCCCUUAUCGAAGUGUCUCUGAGUGGCUUGAAUCCAUACGCAUGAAGCGCUACAUCCUGCACUUCCCUUCGGCUGGGCUGGACCGGACACCAUGGAGUGUGUGCUGGAGAUGACGGCUGAGGACCUGACGCAGAUGGGAAUAACGUUGCCAGGGCACCAGAAACGAAUUCUCUGCAGUAUUCAAGGUUUUAAGGACUGAGCAUCCACUGAAAAGAUGCUCCAGCCCUCUGCCUGCCUCCAUUAGCAAGGACAGAGCUACAGUCAACUCCCUGGGCCUUUCCUCAGCCUACGAAAUGUAGGCUAUUGGUGCUGCUCCUGCCCAGUCAAUCAGAACUCUGCCUUUGGACCAAGGAGCCUUUGUGUAUAAAGGGGGUGGAUGGGUACAAGUGAAGGGGACUGUGGGUCCCUUACAUAUGCAUUAUCUAUUUUUGUAAAUAAACAAGAGUUUUCAAAACAAAACAAAAC
rnacentral:lncRNA from 1 species